GAUAUGCGCGGGCCAGGAGCGGAGGUACGACGUGGGUGGAAAGCGUGGUCCGGAUUGACUGGGCGGAAAGGGCGCGCAGGCGGGCGGAUAAGGCGAAUGUGAAAGCCCCCGGCUCAACUGGGGAGGGUCAUUCGAUACUGUUCGACUCGAAGGCAGGAGAGGGAAGUGGAAUUCCCGGUGUAGUGGUGAAAUGCGUAGAUAUCGGGAGGAACACCAGUGGCGAAGGCGACUUCCUGGCCUGUUCUUGACGCUGAGGCGCGAAAGCUAGGGGAGCAAACGGGAUUAGAUACCCGAGUAGUC
rnacentral:rRNA from 1 species